rnacentral:rRNA from 1 species
AUUGAACGCUGGCGGCAGGCCUAACACAUGCAAGUCGAGCGGAUGAAGGGAGCUUGCUCCUGGAUUCAGCGGCGGACGGGUGAGUAAUGCCUAGGAAUCUGCCUGGUAGUGGGGGAUAACGUCCGGUAACGGGCGCUAAUACCGCAUACGUCCUGAGGGAGAAAGUGGGGGAUCUUCGGACCUCACGCUAUCAGAUGAGCCUAGGUCGGAUUAGCUAGUUGGUGGGGUAAAGGCCUACCAAGGCGACGAUCCGUAACUGGUCUGAGAGGAUGAUCAGUCACACUGGAGCUGAGACACGGUCCAGACUCCUACGGGAGGCAGCAGUGAGAAAUAUUGGACAGUGGGCGAAAGCCUGUACCAGCCAUGCCGCGUGUGUGAAGAAGGUCUUCGGAUUGUAAAGCACGUUGAGUUGGGAGGAAGGGCAGUAAGUUAAUACCUUGCUGUUUUGACGUUACCAACAGAAUAAGCACCGGCUAACUUCGU